UCGACGGCAGCACGGGAGCAAUCCUGGUGGCGAGUGGCGAACGGGUGAGUAAUGUAUCGGAACGUACCUUUCAGUGGGGGAUAACGUAGCGAAAGUUACGCUAAUACCGCAUAUUCUGUGAGCAGGAAAGCAGGGGAUCGCAAGACCUUGCGCUGAUUGAGCGGCCGAUAUCAGAUUAGCUAGUUGGUGAGGUAAAGGCUCACCAAGGCGACGAUCUGUAGCGGGUCUGAGAGGAUGAUCCGCCACACUGGAACUGAGACACGGUCCAGACUCCUACGGGAGGCAGCAGUGGGGAAUUUUGGACAAUGGGGGCAACCCUGAUCCAGCCAUGCCGCGUGAGUGGAGAAGGCCUUCGGGUUGUAAAGCUCUUUCAGCCGGGAAGAAAUCACAUGGGUUAAUACCCUGUGUGGAUGACGGUACCGGAAUAAGAAGCACCGGCUAACUACGUGCCAGCAGCCGCGGUAAUACGUAGGGUGCGAGCGUUAAUCGGAAUUACUGGGCGUAAAGCGUGCGCAGGCGGUUUGUUAAGAUAGGCGUGAAAUCCCCGGGCUCAACCUGGGAACUGCGUUUAUGACUGGCAGGCUAGAGUAUGGCAGAGGGGGGUGGAAUUCCACGUGUAGCAGUGAGAUGCGUAGAGAUGUGGAGGAACACCGAUGGCGAAG
rnacentral:rRNA from 1 species